GGAUAGCCAUGCGAGUCGCGCAGCAAUGCGUGGCAUACGGCUCAGUAACACGUAGUCAACAUGCCCAGGGGACGUGGAUAACCUCGGGAAACUGAGUCUAAACCGCGAUAAGUGAGGAUUUCUGGAAUGGUUCCUGGCUGAAAUCUACAUGGCCUCUGGAUUGGACUGCGGCCGAUCAGGCUGUUGGUGAGGCAAUGGCCCACCAAACCUGUAACCGGUACGGGCUUUGAGAGAAGGAGCCCGGAGAUGGGCACUGAGACAAGGGCCCAGGCCCUAUGGGGCGCAGCAGGCGCGAAACCUCUGCAAUAGGCGAAAGCUUGACAGGGUUACUCUGAGUGAUGCCCGCUAAGGGCAUCUUUUGGCACCUCUAAAAAUGGUGCAGAAUAAGGGGUGGGCAAGUCUGGUGUCAGCCGCCGCGGUAAUACCAGCACCCCGAGUGGUCGGGACGAUUAUUGGGCCUAAAGCAUCCGUAGCUUGUUCUGCAAGUCCUCCGUUAAAUCCACCUGCUCAACAGAUGGGCUGCGGAGGAUACUACAGGGCUAGGAGGCGGGAGAGGCAAGCGGUACUCAGUGGGUAGGGGUAAAAUCCUCUGAUCCACUGAAGACCACCAGUGGCGAAGGCGGCUUGCCAGAACGCGCUCGACGGUGAGGGAUGAAAGCUGGGGGAGCAAACCGGAUUAGAUACCCGGGUAGUCCCAGCUGUAAACGAUGCAGACUCGGUGAUGGGUUGGCUUCGCGCUAACCCAGUGCCGCAGGAAGCCGUUAAGUCUGCCGCCUGGGUAGUACGGUCGCAAGACUGAAACUUAAAGGAAUUGGCGGGGGAACACCACAAGGGGUGAAGCCUGCCG
rnacentral:rRNA from 1 species